AGAGGAGUGCUGCAUCCUGGCUCCUGCACCACUGCCUUCUGAUGCCUGAGGUUUCACUGCACCAUGACUGAUGGUGGCUUACUCUAGUUCCAUGACUCUAGAAGUGACCCCAAUUACAGCUCUACACGGUCUUGUUUUCAAACAGGGGCUGGUGGGUUCACCCUGGCUGCAUGCCAGGUACCCACUAAAGCUGCUCUGGCAAUCCCCUCCACAACUGGACAGGGGAGAGAAAAUAUAUCAAAAGUUUCCUAGGCUGGAAUAAAGGCACAGAGAGAUCAUUUACCAGUUACCAUCAAGGGCAAAAGAGAGUCAACAUGGGGAAAUUACUUUAUCACCAAU